AGUAGGAGAGCUGCCAUGGCCUCAGUGCACUGUUUGAAUUCUUGACCAAAAAACAAAAUGAAAAAAAAGUGUGCUUAAUAAAGUGAUUGUCUUUUUAUAUCACUAAUUUCCAUGUGGAGUUUUUAAAUGUGGUGAUAAUAACUGGAAUAAUAAUCUCCAUCCUCCAAAGUCACACAUAUGACCUGCGAGAUGAAGUUAUAUGUUUGUGGAACUCUAGAUCAGCAUAGGGCAGACAGUAAAGGGCAAACACAGAAAGUGAAACUCUGAUUUAGAGACCAGCCAUCUGGCAGGAACAAAAACUCAGAGGUAGAAGCGGCUGAGCAAAAGGUCUCCAGAAAAUCUAGGGAAAGCAGACAACUGACCACAGAUUGUCAGAUGGAGACUUGAGAUAACUUAUACCAGAUGACUUAAACCUGAGUCUCGGGGGGGAAGUAGAGGACUUUGCAUGUUAAUUUGCCUGUUGAUUACCAACUAGGAUCUAAAAUGUAGGAUGUCAGCUGUAGGCAUCAGUAUCCUAGAAUUGUAUCUAUCAGCUGACCUUGUGUCUUGAAUUUGAAAUCCGGAUUUUUUUUCCCAACUCUUCUCUCUCCUUCAGCCCCACAUCUAAUACUGGAAGCCGGGAGAUUAGACGUAAUUAAGUGAGUGACUUUGGACCCAGCUCUCUGGUUUUGAUUCACAACAACUCCACUUUCUAGCUGUGAAUUCUUGGGAAAUUUGUGUAACUUCUCCAACAUUCUGCUUCCACAUCUGUAAGUGGAGAUUAUAAAAGUGCUAACUUAUGGGAUAUUCCAAGGAUUAUAUAAACUAACAUGAGGAAAGCACUUUAAGAAGUGUCUGGGACACAGUAAUUCCUCAAUAAAUUCUAGCUAUUCACCUUAUCCGUGAUCAAACUUCGUUAGCCACCCUUGUCAACAGUCUUUUAAAUGUGCCUCCACUGUUCCGUCUACACCUUCUUAUUUCCUUCUUUCUUCUCCUUCUCCAUCCUACUCUCCAGAAAUGCUCCUGUAUUAUCCGUCUAUAAAACAGGUCACCAGCCAAGGUAAAAAUAACCAAUGAC
rnacentral:lncRNA from 1 species